GGAGUUUGUUACAAGUUGACGCGCAUGCUUUGUAGAAAAAUAAUUCAUGCGUUCUAACGUCGGAUCUGGUGGAGGUCAUAGACAGAACUGACAAAACAGUAGGGCUGCAGACAUGGCGAAACUAUUUGAAUCCAUCGGGAAGUUGGGGCUGGCCCUCGCCGUUGGUGGAGGUGUUGUGAACUCAGCCCUCUUCAAUGUUGACGCAGGUCAUCGGGCAGUUAUAUUUUGACUAGUUCCGGGGAGUUGCAAGACGCCG